rnacentral:lncRNA from 1 species
GUAUUUUUAAUAGUGAAACGUGAUUGAAACAAGCGUAAAGGUUAAAGACCUAAUUGCACUAAAAAAUAAAAAAGUUACUCACAAAAUUAAAAUAAAGACAAAUUAGACAAUUUUGUGAUAAUAUCUAAUAUAUAUUGAAUUUUAUUGAAUUUUUGUGAUUUAAAACUUGUUAAGGUCUCUUGGGAGCCCAAUAAUUAUUAAUGGAAUUUGCUUGGGAGCCUAACUAAAAUUUUUAUGUGUGAGAUUUAGUCCCACAUUAAAAACGAAAAGUGUGUUGAUGGUAUAUAUAUAUUCCUUUAUUUUCAAGCUAGUUGCUUGUAAGAAAAUGAAAGCUAUGCUCUCUUAAACACACGCACAGCACGAACAUAGCCGGGCCGGCGCGUCACGGGUCCAUUACUGGAUCUCAAGCUUGUUGGGUUCAUCUUGCACCACCAUAAUUGCCGGAGAGCCUCACACAUGGAGGGGCAAUUUCGCUUUUAGGACGUUCUGUACGUCUCGAUCCACAGGCCUUAUCUAAAACUUUUCUUUACAGUAUUUGUUAUUUAAUUUCGUUUCGAAAUUUUUUUAAACCUGAAAUUAAACUUUCCAAUUGAUUUUUAAAGAAUAUUGUAAUAAAAAAAUCAGAAAAAUUUUCCAACAAUGUAUUCUUCAAAACUUCAAAGAUAUCUUAUUUAUCUCUUGAUUACCAAAAUACCCUUAUUAUUGAUUUCAAAAAGUUCCUUCAAAUAUCUCCUUUCCCUUUAGAUUUUAGUGAGAUUAGAUUUUAGGAUUGCAUUUUGG